rnacentral:rRNA from 1 species
CCUACGGGAGGCAGCAGUGAGGAAUAUUGGUCAAUGGACGCGAGUCUGAACCAGCCAAGUAGCGUGCAGGAUGACUGCCCUCUGGGUUGUAAACUUCUUUUAUAAGGGAAUAAAACGAGGCACGUGUGCCUUUUUGCAUGUACUUCAUGAAUAAGGAUAGGCUAACUCUGCGCCAGCAGCCGCGGUAUUACGGAGGAUCCGAGCGUUAUCCGGAUUUAUUGGGUUUAAAGGGAGCGUAGAUGGGUUGUUAAGUCAGUUGUGAAAGUUUGCGGCUCAACCGUGAAAUUGCAAUUGAUACUGGCAGUCUUGAGUACAGAUGGGGUAGGCGGAAUUCGUGGUGUAGCGGUGAAAUGCUUAGAUAUCACGAAGAACUCCGAUUGCGAAGGCAGCCUGCUGGAGUGUAACUGACGCUGAUGCUCGAAAGUGUGGGUAUCAAACAGGAUUAGAUACCCUUGUAGUC